ensembl:lncRNA
AUGAAAGUCUUCAAGGGAAUGGUUAAAAACUACAUCUGCUCCUCCAUCCCGGAUACUUUAGACCCUUUUCAGUUUGCCUAUCGCCCCAACAGAUCCACUGAUGAUGCCAUCUCUCACAUCCUGCACUCUUCUCUCAUGCACAUUGACAGCAAUAACAGAAACUAUGUAAGGCUGCUAUUUAUCGACUAUAGCUCAGCUUUCAAUACUAUAGUCCCCAUAAAGCUAGCUUCUAAACUCAUGGACCUCGGCCUGAAUUCUUCACUCUGCAGCUGGAUUCUUGAUUUCCUCACCGGCAGACCACAAGUGGUGAAAGUAGGCCAGUACACCUCCAACUCCAUCACCCUGAACGUAGGAGCCCCACUGGGCUGUGUCCUGAGUCCCCUGCUCUAUUCUCUCUACACACAUGACUGUGUGUCUUCCCACAGGUCUACAGCUAUAAUCAAAUUUGCUGAUGAUACUGUGGUUCUGGGCCUGAUUUCCAACAAUAAUAAAGCCGCAUACUUGGAUGAGGAAGAGACAGCAGCAGCCCUAUAUUCCUCUUAUGAUCAGCGGGACCCCUGUGGAGAGGGUGAGCAGCUUCAAGUACCUUGGUGUAAACAUCUCCGAGGACCUGACUUGGACUACCCACAUUCAAACACAGGUUAAUAAAGCCAGGCAAAGACUGUACCAUCUGCAACAGCUGAGAAAAUUCAGGGUCUCACCAGCAAUCCUGAAAACUUUCUAUUCAGGGGCCAUAGAAAGUGUAUUGACUCAGUGUAUCUCAGUGUGGUAUGGGAACAGCUCCAGUCAAGACUGCAAAGCCCUGCAGAGAGUUGUGCACUUAGCAGAGCGCAUCACAGGGUCUGCUCUCCCCUCUCUGUAGGACAUCUACGUCAAACGCUGCAAAAGCAGAGCUGUUAAAAUCAUCAAGGACUCCAUCCACCCCAGUAACCAUCUUUUCACUUUGCUGCCAUCUGGUAAGCGCUUCCGUAGCCUGAUGGCAAAAACUGAGAGACUUAGGAGACGUUUCUUCCCCCAGGCCAUCAGGCUCCUAACUCAAAACCAGUCUCUUAACAUCUUCAUGUCUCCACUUAAUAUUCACUUUAUCAGUAAGAUAUUCAUCAUUCUCUACCUCACAUUGACAUUGACAUACUGACAGUGUCAACCUGUUUGCACAUUUGCCUCUUGUACAUUCCUGUGUAUCUUAAAACUACAGUAUAAUGCACAUAUGCACAUUGCCUCUUGUACAUCCCUGGGUAUCUUAAUAUUUAAGACUACAGUGUACUUUCAUGCACAUUAUUUUUCAUUCUAUAUUUAAUUCUACAGUAAACAUCUUUUUUUAUAUUUUAUUCUUAUAUUUUUAUUGUUUACUUUUAUUUCAUUCUUUCAUAGCUAUAUCUAUGUAUAUUUUCAUCUGUGUUGUAUUCUUUAAUAAUUGCACUGUCCAUGAAGCGGACCUGAUUUCACUGCUGGUUAUAUAUGCUGUAUAUAAUUGUGUAUGUGACGAAUACAAAUCUUGAAUCUUGACUCUUAUUUGCUCCAAAUGACUGUAGUCUCCUUAAGAAAUAAGCAUAUAUGGAGUGGAAAGAAAAGGUGAACUCAGACGACCCUGAGAUGCUCCUGAAUAAGUAACAACAGAAUUUGAAAACUUCUGAUUAACAUUAACUAUCUGCAGUCUAUCUGUCAAGUCAAGUCAAGUCAAGUCAAGUCAAGUCACUAUAUUUAUAUAGCGCUUUAAACAAAAAAGAUUGCGUCAAAGCAACUGAACAACAUUAAUUAGGAAAACAGUGUGUCAAUAAUGCAAAAUUACAGUUAAAGGCAGUUCAUCAUUGAAUUC